GAUGAACGCUGGCGGUGUGCAUAAUACAUGCAAGUCGAGCGAACAGACGAGGAGCUUGCUCCUCUGACGUUAGCGGCGGACGGGUGAGUAACACGUGGAUAACCUACCUAUAAGACUGGGAUAACUUCGGGAAACCGGAGCUAAUACCGGAUAAUAUAUUGAACCGCAUGGUUCAAUAGUGAAAGACGGUUUUGCUGUCACUUAUAGAUGGAUCCGCGCCGCAUUAGCUAGUUGGUAAGGUAACGGCUUACCAAGGCAACGAUGCGUAGCCGACCUGAGAGGGUGAUCGGCCACACUGGAACUGAGACACGGUCCAGACUCCUACGGGAGGCAGCAGUAGGGAAUCUUCCGCAAUGGGCGAAAGCCUGACGGAGCAACGCCGCGUGAGUGAUGAAGGUCUUCGGAUCGUAAAACUCUGUUAUUAGGGAAGAACAAAUGUGUAAGUAACUAUGCACGUAUUGACGGUACCUAAUCAGAAAGCCACGGCUAACUACGUG
rnacentral:rRNA from 1 species